rnacentral:rRNA from 1 species
AGGACCGCCGUAAUGAUUAAUAGGGAUAGUCGGGGGCGUCAGUAUUCAAUUGUCAGAGGUGAAAUUCUUGGAUCUAUUGAAGACUAACUACUGCGAAAGCAUUCGCCAAGGAUGUUCUCAUUAAUCAGUGAACGAAAGUUAGGGGAUCGAAGACGAUCAG